GUGUCAGCAGCCGCGGUAAUACGUAGGUGGCAAGCGUUGUCCGGAUUCAUUGGGCGUAAAGAGCGUGUAGGCGGCCAGGCAGGUCCGCUGUGAAAACUCGAGGCUCAACCUCGAGAUGUCGGUGGAAACCGUCUGGCUAGAGUCCGGAAGAGGAGAGUGGAAUUCCUGGUGUAGCGGUGAAAUGCGCAGAUAUCAGGAAGAACACCCGUGGCUAAGGCGGCUCUCUAGUACGGUACUGACGCUGAGACGCGAAAGCGUGGGGAGCGAACAGGAUUAGAUACCCUGGUAGUCCAUGCCGUAAACGUUGGGCACUAGGUGUGGGGGACAUUCCACGUUUUCCGCGCCGUAGCUAACGCAUUAAGUUCCCCGCCUGGGGAGUACGGCCGCAAGGCUAAAACUCAAAGGAAUUGACGG
rnacentral:rRNA from 1 species